UGGGGAAUAUUGGACAAUGGGCGAAAGCCUGAUCCAGCCAUGCCGCGUGUGUGAAGAAGGUCUUCGGAUUGUAAAGCACUUUAAGUUGGGAGGAAGGGUUGUAGAUUAAUACUCUGCAAUUUUGACGUUACCGACAGAAUAAGCACCGGCUAACUCUGUGCCAGCAGCCGCGGUAAUACAGAGGGUGCAAGCGUUAAUCGGAAUUACUGGGCGUAAAGCGCGCGUAGGUGGUUUGUUAAGUUGGAUGUGAAAUCCCCGGGCUCAACCUGGGAACUGCAUCCAAAACUGGCAAGCUAGAGUAUGGUAGAGGGUGGUGGAAUUUCCUGUGUAGCGGUGAAAUGCGUAGAUAUAGGAAGGAACACCAGUGGCGAAGGCGACCACCUGGACUGAUACUGACACUGAGGUGCGAAAGCGUGGGGAGCAAACAGGAUUAGAUACCCAAGUAGUCCCUGAGCGGGCUGGCAAGGCGCAU
rnacentral:rRNA from 1 species